AACGAACGCUGGCGGCAGGCCUAACACAUGCAAGUCGAACGAGAAAUCACCCUUCGGGGUGAGAGUAGAGUGGCGCACGGGUGAGUAACGCGUGGGAACCUACCUAGGGGUACGGAAUAACUCAGGGAAACUUGGGCUAAUACCGUAUACGUCCUCCGGGAGAAAGAUUUAUCGCCCUUGGAUGGGCCCGCGUUAGAUUAGCUAGUUGGUGGGGUAAAGGCCCUACCAAGGCUACGAUCUAUAGCUGGUUUGAGAGGAUGAUCAGCCACACUGGAACUGAGACACGGUCCAGACCUCCGUACGGGAGGCAGCAGGUGGGGAAUUAGUUAGGCAAGUACGGGGGAAACCCUGACCUACGCCAUGCCGCGUGCGUGAAAGAAGGUCGUUAGGAUUAGUAAAGCGUCUUUCAGGACGGGGAAGAUGAUGACGGUACCCGCAGAAGAAGCCCCGGCUAACUCCGUG
rnacentral:rRNA from 1 species